CCGUGUCGUGGGAGACACUUUGGACCAGCACCCACGCCGCCCUGCCCAGCGCGGGCGUGCACGUUCAAGCGGCCAUUGGCGUCUCCCACCACCCCAAAACCCCCCAUCCCUGCCUAAUACGCACCCUUUGUUUCCUCGGCGGGCCCGCCCGCCGCAGGACCCCUUCUGGAAACGCUUUUGCAAACCACGCAGUCGUUCGUCUGAGCGGAGUUUAUACACGCAAUCAAAUUA
rnacentral:misc_RNA from 1 species